rnacentral:misc_RNA from 1 species
AAGACUAUAGACCUGCGGAGUACCUGCGGAAGGAUCAUUAACAAAUCCAAACACUUGUCCUCCUUUAUGAUUAACUUGGACGCAGCUGCUUCGGUGGCUAGUGGCCUCGGUGGUCAUAAUGGUUAAAGACACACACAACACUUACAGUUACCAAUUUGACAACUAAUGGGAACCAAAUUGAUUAAAUGAUCAUACAACUUUCAACAACGGAUCUCU